GUCAGAUGUUGAUGUUCAGUUUAACUUUGGUUCUCUUGACUCACUAUCAUUGGUCAGGUGGGGACUGGGUGAAAUAGCUUACGUAGAUGGAAUAACUAAAACCAGUCUUGCCCUAAAGAAAGCCGCAAAUAUGUACAUGGUUCGUGGUGAUCCAGGCAAUGCUAAGUUUAUCUGGUUGGUAACGGAUGGGAAAGCCAGCACCGGUUAUGACCCAAUAUUUUGGGCAAAUGUCUUGAAAAGAAUUGGGGUAAAAAUAUGCGUGGUGGCAAUUGGUACCAGCGUUGACAUGACAGAGAUCAGAGGCAUAGCGUCCCCGGACUGCGUCUUCUCUGGACUCACCUUUGCCUCCUACAGUCAAAUUGCUGCCAAGGCACUGGCCUUAGCCCUGGCGUAGUCCUACUCAUAACCAACGAUGUAACAUGCCACUUAACAAUUGUCCACCGUGCUGUUAUACGGAGUCGUUUAUGAAGAGAUGAAAAAUUUACCUUGGAAUGUUUAUAUUUCCCAAACAUUCAAACUCCAAAGAUGCUGUCUACCAUAGAUUAUCAACAUUCGAAUAUCUUUCAGUUAUAAACCUAGUCAUUACGUUUUGGAUGGCCAAGGGUUUAGAUAUUCACUC